ACAUUUGAUUAUAUGGUCUCUGUAACUGGACAAUUACAAACUUAAACAUUGUUUAAUUUGUAUCUUUGUUCUGUUUAUUUCUUUGUGCUAUUUACACAUUUUAAACAGGGACCUGUACCCUGGUCAGACAAGAAACCUGUGAAAGUGGAUGGUCUGCAUAUAAAGGUAGAUGCUUCCGCUUUUUUAACUUUCCGCGUUCCUGGAUUGAUGCAGAGAAACAGUGUUUGGGCUACGAUGGGAACCUGGCCUCUGUACACAGUUAUGAGGA